rnacentral:siRNA from 1 species
UAAAGGGUCUGAAUAUUCGUGU